AACGAACGCUGGCGGCGUGCCUAACACAUGCAAGUCGAACGGAGAUAAGAAGCUUGCUUCUUAUUUUAGUGGCGCACGGGUGAGUAACGCGUGGAUAAUCUACCUGACGCUCUGGGAUAACAUCUCGAAAGGGGCGCUAAUACCGGAUAAGCCCACGAGACCUUCGGGUCAUGCGGGAAAAGGUGGGGACCUUCGGGCCUUCCGACAUCAGAUGAGUACGCGUCCCAUUAGCUAGUCGGCGGGGUAAUGGCCCACCAAGGCUACGAUGGGUAGGUGGUCUGAGAGGAUGAUCAGCCACACUGGAACUGAGACACGGUCCAGACUCCUACGGGAGGCAGCAGUGGGGAAUUUUGCGCAAUGGGGGAAACCCUGACGCAGCAACGCCGCGUGAGUGAUGAAGGUUUUCGGGUCGUAAAGCUCUGUCAGAAGGGAAGAAAUGUAGGUGGCUAAUAUCCAUUCUACUUGACGGUACCUUCAAAGGAAGCACCGGCUAACUCCGUGCCAGCAGCCGCCGUAAAAC
rnacentral:rRNA from 1 species